CUCGGCGCGCGGGGCCGGGGGUCGGCGGGGUGCUGGCCGGCCGCGGGGACCCGGCUCGGCUCGCCGGAGCCCGCCCUCUUCCCGGCACGAUGGAUACUGCAGUCUUCUCCGCCUGCUCGCCCUCCCCUUUCUCCUGUUACAUCUAAACAGACGAUUUCAACUUCCCGAGAACAUGAAGGGGCUAGAAGCUGCUAUCGAUCCUGAGCUCACCGUUCAGUCACUCGGUGCGCGAUGUGUUACUCACUGUGCGGCGGGGACCGCGACGAGCCCGGGUCGCCGUUGGCAGCGGCAGUAGCAGCGGCGGCAGCGGCAGCGGCAGCCCCGGCGGCGGCGGCGCGGACCCCGAGUCCCCGGGCACACCCCGGCACCCCGGAGCGCAGCGCGGCGGCGGGACCCAUUCGGCCGCGCGCGCCGUAGGCUCGGCCCCGCGGCUCGGGGACCCCGACUCUCGGCCCAGCCAGCGAGUCCCCCAGGCGCCGCCCGAGAGCCCGGGAGGCAGCGGCCGCGGGCAAGCCGGGCCGCGGGGAAGGAGGGGGGGCGGCAGCCACCGCCCGCGCCGGGCACCUUCUGGGGCCCCGGAUCGCGGAGGGCGCUGCGCCACCGCACGGGUGCCUGCCCCCGCGGGGCCUCCCGUGCCCAACCUUCCCCACCUCCUGGG
ensembl:lncRNA